GUGAUUUGGCUUGACCAUGAGCCAUCCAGGAAGCAGGGACUGUUGCAGAUAUCGCUCAGUGACAAACGCAUUGCAGCUCUUCAUAUUGGCCCACCUUCCUGGUCUAUGAAGAACAACACAAGCCGGGUUCUUUUGAAGACCCCGACCUAGAGUUACACUCUGACUUUGGUUCUUUGUGGGAAUAGGACCCGCUUUCAGGAUCUCACUUUUUGAUAUGCCAAGGUCGUGGCCUGGAAGACCAGCGCACGCUUCAGGGUGCUGGAUUGUUGUGGCUCUGGAGACGGACUGAUUCAAGGCCGGUGCCCCUGACUGAGGCAUCGUGGGAAAACACAGAACAUUGGGAUCUGUGUGUUCAGAUUCUUGAGCCUUUCCGGGGCCAAUUCUACGGGAGCAGAGCUCGGAAGAAUUGAUACAACAGAAUUUUAAUAUCAUAAAUCAGUUCUUUUGAAGACCUUGACCUGGAGUUACACUCUGACCUCGGUUCUUUGCAGGAAUGGGACCCGCUCUUAGGGCCUCACGACCAGCUGCUUUUCGAUAUACCAAGGACGCGGCCCAGAAGACUAACGUGCUUUCAGGCUGCCAGAUUCUUGUGGAUUCAGGGCUGGUGCCACCACCACCAACUGAUGCGUUGCAGGAGAACAAGGAAGAUCAGAAGUAGCGGGCUGUGUGUCCAGAGGCCCAGAGCUCAGACGUACAUUGUACACAUUUCUCCGGCAUUAAAUGUACCGAUUGAAUACUGUUAGUAUUAUUUAAUGAUAAUGUUUCCCUUGCAGCUCAGGAAAAGAUUUACUUGACUAAUAUCUGGAUUGGGUGGGUUGUCUUCUGAGAAGGAAUUGAAGAAGGUUGGCUUGUGUCCAUGACAAUUUACAAAAACACAAGAAAAUAGGAGCAGGAGGAAGCCAGCUGACCUCUCAAGCUUCUCACUAUUCGAUAUGACCAUGACUCAGAGUGAUACAGCAC